GCUGCAAUGCUGAGUGGCUGCUGGGCUGAAAGCUCCCAAGAGUGUAUUACUCUUCAAGGAAUAACCCAUGUAGAAAUGAAUGUUAUGAUGCACUUUAUAUAUGGAGGAACUUUGGAUUUUCCCGAAAAGGCUAAUGUUGGUCAGAUACUGAACGUGGCUGAUAUGUAUGGACUGGAAGGAUUGAGAGAAGUAGCAAUCUAUGUUUUAAGAAGAGAUUACUGUAAUUUCUUUCAGA
rnacentral:lncRNA from 1 species